GCUAGAGUGGCGGAAUCGGCAGACGCACCAGACUUAAAAUCUGGGGGCCUCGCUAGGCCGUGAGGGUUCAAGUCCCUCCUCUAGCA
rnacentral:tRNA from 1 species